rnacentral:rRNA from 1 species
UACAGAGGAUGCAAGCGUUAUCCGGAAUGAUUGGGCGUAAAGCGUCUGUAGGUGGCUUUUUAAGUCCGCCGUCAAAUCCCAGGGCUCAACUCUGGACAGGCGGUGGAAACUACCAAGCUGGAGUACGGUAGGGGCAGAUGGAAUUUCCGGUGGAGCGGUGAAAUGCGUAGAUAUCGUAAGGAAGACCAGUGGCGAAGGCGGGUCUCUGGACAGUUCCUGACGCUGAGGCACGAAGGCCAGGGGAGCGAACGGG